GUAGUCGUGGCCGAGUGGUUAAGGCGAUGGAUUUAAAAUCCAUUGGAGUUUCCCGCGCAGGUUCGAAUCCUGCCGACUGCA